CNCGCCUCCCGUCCGCCGCCACUACACGACGUACCGUACCGGGACGGCGAGCGAGUGGGUAAGUAUUGCGCGAAGUACGGGACGAAGACUGACGCAGCGACGCCGCGUGAGGAGUGAGCCUUCGGGUUGUAACUCUUCUAGCAGGGACGAAGACGAAGUAGACGGUACUGCAGAAGAAGCACCGGCUAACUACGUGCCAGCAGCCGCGGUAAUUC
rnacentral:rRNA from 1 species